AUUGAACGCUGGCGGCAUGCUUUACACAUGCAAGUCGAACGGUAACGGGCCUUCGGGUGCUGACGAGUGGCGAACGGGUGAGUAAUGCAUCGGAACAUGCCCAAUCGUGGGGGAUAACGUAGCGAAAGUUACGCUAAUACCGCAUACGCCCUGAGGGGGAAAGCAGGGGAUCGCAAGACCUUGCGCGAAUGGAGUGGCCGAUGUCAGAUUAGCUAGUUGGUGGGGUAAAGGCCCACCAAGGCGACGAUCUGUAGCGGGUCUGAGAGGAUGAUCCGCCACACUGGGACUGAGACACGGCCCAGACUCCUACGGGAGGCUG
rnacentral:rRNA from 1 species